rnacentral:rRNA from 1 species
UACGUAUGGUGCAAGCGUUAUCCGGAUUUACUGGGUGUAAAGGGAGCGCAGGCGGUGCGGCAAGUCUGAUGUGAAAGCCCGGGGCUCAACCCCGGUACUGCAUUGGAAACUGUCGUACUAGAGUGUCGGAGGGGUAAGCGGAAUUCCUAGUGUAGCGGUGAAAUGCGUAGAUAUUAGGAGGAACACCGGUGGCGAAGGCGGCUUACUGGACGAUAACUGACGCUGAGGCUCGAAAGCGUGGGGAGCAAACAGG